AGAUGAUAGUCUUUGUUAAUUUCUUCCAUGAUAGAAAAUUUAUAUUUUAAGAUAUGACAUCUUGAGAUUUUAUCUCAGUAAUACCUUCAUCAACAUGUUCACCCAUGAACACAUUAUUUUGAGGGUUCAGAGUAUCUUAUAAAGAUAUAUUUCUUUCCUCUAUGAUCCAAUUUACUAUAUUUAUGAGAGAAAUUGUAUACAUAAG
rnacentral:lncRNA from 1 species